CAGAGGGGGCAAGCGUUGUUCGGAAUUACUGGGCGUAAAGGGCGCGUAGGCGGCCUGCUAAGUCGAACGUGAAAUCCCUGGGCUCAACCCAGGAACUGCGUCCGAGACUGGUUGGCUUGAAUCCGGGAGAGGGAUGUGGAAUUCCAGGUGUAGCGGUGAAAUGCGUAGAUAUCUGGAGGAACACCGGUGGCGAAGGCGGCAUCCUGGACCGGCAUUGACGCUGAGGCGCGAAAGCCAGGGGAGCAAACGGGAUUAGAUACCCCGGUAGUCCUGGCCCUAAACGAUGAAUGCUUGGUGUGGCGGGUAUCGAUCCCUGCCGUGCCGAAGCUAACGUAUUAAGCAUUCCGCCUGGGGAGUACGGUCGCAAGGCUG
rnacentral:rRNA from 1 species